rnacentral:rRNA from 1 species
AGUGAACGCUGGCGGUAGGCCUAACACAUGCAAGUCGAACGGCAGCACAGUAAGAGCUUGCUCUUACGGGUGGCGAGUGGCGGACGGGUGAGGAAUACAUCGGAAUCUACUUUUUCGUGGGGGAUAACGUAGGGAAACUUACGCUAAUACCGCAUACGACCUACGGGUGAAAGCAGGGGAUCUUCGGACCUUGCGCGAUUGAAUGAGCCGAUGUCGGAUUAGCUAGUUGGCGGGGUAAAGGCCCACCAAGGCGACGAUCCGUAGCUGGUCUGAGAGGAUGAUCAGCCACACUGGAACGGAGACACGGUCCUGACUCCUACGGGAGGCAGCAGUGGGGAAUAUUGGACAAUGGGCGCAAGCCUGAUCCAGCCAUACCGAGUGGGUGAAGAAGGCCUUCGGGUUGUAAAGCCCUUUUGUUGGGAAAGAAAAGCAGCAGGUUAAUACCCCGCUGUUCUGACGGUACCCAAAGAAUAAGCACCGGCUAACUUCGUG